GUGCUCUCUUUGGCAGUACUUAUACUAAAAUUGGAACGAUACAGAGAAGAUAAGCAUGGCCCCUGUGCAAGGAUGACAUGCAAAUUUGUGAAGCGUUUCAUAAAUUA
rnacentral:snRNA from 1 species